AAGAAUGAGAGUUAUGAUCAACUCAGUAUACCACUGGAGGCUACAGGAGCAAACAGCAAACUGUUUCUCAUGAAAGCAGGAUGUUCAAAGCAGGAUGUUGGCAAAAUGACAAACUGCAUCUGCCACCCAGAAGGAAUGCUGAGGGCAGUCAUGCCCCAAGUGCAGUGUUUUUGUGAUUAGGCACAACUGAAGCUUGUUAGCAAUAAUAUGACCCUGUGAUUAAUUGAGCGGCUGACCAAUCAUUACCUCCUCCUCCCUGCUCUUUCUACCCAAUAAAUACAAAGGGCUGUGGAAGCUCAAUGGGCUGCCUUUGCUCAUUAGAAGCAGGGAGCUCUCUUCUUCUUCCCCUGGAUCCUUCCUUUAAAAUAGUUUCUUUUGUCUUAAGUUUUCAUUUCUACGUUUGUCCCUUCAUUCAGUCUCUUAAAUGACGGUCUCAAGCAGUAACAGUAGUAAUUGCUGUAAUGACGGUCUCAAGUAGUAACCAGGGCACUCUGCCACAAGUGGCACCUGAACAGGGACUAACAGGGACUAUCAAGAACAAACGGAGACCUGAAGAGACCUGAAGGGAACUGAAGAGGUCUGCAGGGACAAAUAGAGAUAAGUAGGGAUAAAUAGAGAUAAAUAGAGACAAAUAGAGAUAGGUAAGGAAUGACAGGGACUUGCAGGAAGUAACAGGGACCAUAGGGACAGAUAGGGAUAGAUAAAGACUAGCAAAGACUAGCCGAGAUUAGCAAAGACCAGCAAGGACUAGCAGAGACUAGCAAAGACUAGCAGAAACUUGCAGGGACAGGCAGAGACAGAUAGGGACAGAUAGGGUCCUACAGGGACUUGAACGAGGAAGAUCUGCUGGAAAAGAAAAGAACUACAACCAACCAGAUGAACAAGAAACCCUGUUACAAGUCUGCUGGCAGCAACAUAAGGGUAUGCUUGUUUUUGCAGGAAAUGAACAAAAAGUGUGGGUGCCCCCAAGGUGUGUACUACCAUGGAAUGGGAGAUUGGAGGGACACAUGGAUCCCAACCGUGGGCCUGGUUCCCCCAGUAUGAGCUGAAUACGAAGACAGAACAAACCACCAACCGGCAAUUGAAGGAUGAUGCCCAUUCUAUUUCCUAGGAAGGGAUAAGUUUUAAGGCCUUAUAAAAAGUAAAUGAUAGCUCCUUACAAAUACAGAGGACAAAAUAAAAGUGACUUAAUUAUAAAAACACAGUGACACAAAGUGAACCGGGUUCUAUAAAUUACCAUGGAAAGUGGUGAGCCAACGAUUUGGCAGAACAAAACCCUGAGGAUAUGCAAACAAAAGGGACUAUGGAAUUUGCAAUUGCAGAUUAAAAUUGAAGAAGAAAACAUUUGAGUUGCAAAUACCGUAUUAAAAGUGGACACUGCUUAUGACUGCUGUAUGCAACAGUUUUUCAGGCCCGAGGUGAUAAAUAAAAAAUUGUUUGCUCUAUUUAA
rnacentral:lncRNA from 1 species